GACAGGGGAUGCAAGCGUUACUCGGAAUUACUGGGCGUAAAGCGUCUGCAGGUUCCACGAAAAGUCUGAUGUAAAAGCACUGGAGCUCAACUCCGUGUACGUGUCGGAAACUCUCGUGGUAGAGUCACUCAGAGGUAUCUGGAAUGCCGUGUGUAGGGGUAAAAUCCGUAGAUCCACGGUGGAACGCCAAAAGCGAAAGCAGGAUACUGGGAGUGCACUGACACUCAGAGACGAAAGCGUGGGGAGCAAAGGGG
rnacentral:rRNA from 1 species